rnacentral:rRNA from 1 species
AUUGAACGCUGGCGGCAGGCCUAACACAUGCAAGUCUGGCGAGCGGCGGACGGGUGAGUAAUGUAUGGGGAUCUGCCUGAUGGCGGGGGAUAACUACUGGAAACGGUCGCUAAUACCGCAUACCAUCAGAUCAACCCAUAUGGGAUUAGCUAGUUGGUAAGGUAACGGCUUACCUAGGCGACGAUCCCUAGCUGGUCUGCGAGGAGUAUCAGCCACACUGGGACUGAGACAGGGCCCAGACUCCUACGGGAGGCAGAAGUGGGAAAUAUUGCACAAUGGGUGCAAGCCUGAUGUGGCAAUGCCGCGUGUAUGAAGAAGGCCUUCGGGUGGUAAAGUACUUUCAGUCGGGAGGCGUUACCGACAGAAGAAGCACCGGCUAACUCCGUGCCAGCCGCCGCGGUAAUAC